rnacentral:lncRNA from 1 species
AUCCCGCACCCCCAGCCUGCCUCCCACCCUCCCCACCCGCGUCCCAGCCCCACGCACGAGGGGUUGGGGGGCUGCAAACGGGGGGGCCGGGGACAGCCGAGCCCUGCCCCAGCUCCCCCCAGCCCCCCCUCCGACCCCGCUGCCCCCAGCCCAGCUCCCCGCUCUCGGGGGUGCCGCCGCCGGGCCCGGGGGAGGCUGCAGCAGCGGCGGGGCCCCCGCUCCCCCCCGCAGGCAGCCCAGCGCCGCAGGCAGGCGCGGGGACGGGAGGAACGUGCCGGGGUUUGAGUUUCUGUUCCUAGAAGCUGCGGCCCUGCCCGCCCGGCAGCCCCCCACCCUGCCGGCUGGGAACGAGCUGCGGCUGGAAAGCUCUAGAAACAAAUUGCAGCUCCGGUGCCAAAGGCAACAGCAGCCUCGGCCAUGGCUAAUGCAGGCAGCGUUUUCCAUAGCAACAGGGCAGGAGGAUCCCGGCAGGCGCAGGGGCUGGGCGCCGGCCCCCGGACCCCUCGGCGGCGCAGAGCCGGAGCGCGGCGGUGGCAGCGGUGGCAGCGGCGGGGCCUCUCCUGGUGCUGAAGCUGUGAAGCUCCCCGGUGCCCGCCCGGCCCCCGCCCUCCGCCCCCCACCAUGCCGUCCAGCGGCGCCCUCGACGCCAGCAGCCCCGUGCCGGACCGCGAGGCGCUCGACACGCACAAGGUACGGCCCCGGCACCGCACGGGGACACGGGGACAUGGGGACACGGGUGGGGGGCUCCUGGCACCGCGGUCACCCCAUCAAAGCAGGAGCCAAGGCUGCAGGGGGGGCCCCUCCAGCUGCGCUCCCCCCCUGUGCUGCAGCAGCCUGGGGAGCGCGGAGCUGGGCGGCACGGGGGGGGCGCGAGGCUGAGCUGCAGCGGGGAUUAGUGGGGAUUGAGCUAUUUCUGGCAGUGGGGAGGGGGGGCCACAGGCAGGCUGCUCCCGCCCUGCUGGGGCGCGGGUGUCCCCUGCUUUGGGGCAUCCCCUGCUUUGGGGUCACAUCCCCUGCUUUGGGGUCGCAUCCCCGGCUUUGGGGUCGUGGCAGUGGAGUGGGAGGGCGCACGGGGCAUGGGGCAAUGGGAAGGGCACAUGAUGGGGUGGAAAUGGGGGCAUUUGGGGACAGGAGGGGACAACGCACGUGCGCUCAGGGCUCGCUGGGGUGGGGAGAGCAGCCAGCGGGCAGAGGAUGGGGUCAUGCGCCCCCGCUGCUGCCCCGGGCUGGGGGGUGGCACAGCCCCCAGGGAUUCACUGCGCCCAUCCCCAAAUCACCCGGUGCUUUGCCACGGUGCCACACGGGAUGGAGAGGGGCUGAGCAGUGGCCGGCAGAGCAGGGUGGGGGCUGCAGGUGCCACACGGAUGGAGGGGCUGUGCUGGGUUUUGGGGUGCCCGGGGACGGUCCCCAGCCAAACCCAGGCGUUGUGGCAGCUCCGGCCAUGGCCUUGGUGCUCCUCGGUGUCCCCGCAGCACAAGGACGAGCGGGGCCAGCCCGAAGCUGGGUGGCUGCUCCCUCCACGGGGGAGGCAUCGCGCUUCCUCGGGGAAGCAGCAGCGUCCCCGGGGCGCUGGGGACACGGCCUGCCCCGGUCACGGCGUGGGGACUGGGGCAGCCGGCCAGCUGGAUGCCAGCCUGCCGCAGGCGCUGCGGGGUUGGGGUCAGCCGAGUUCCUCCGGGCUCCCUCGGCUGUGGCGGCCACGCGGUGCCUCCCUGGUGCCUCCUGACAUUUGGGGGUGCUGCAUGGGGCAUUUUGGGGUCUCCAUCCCCUCCGGGUCAUAGCACGGUGCUCAGACCGGUGCCAUGGCAGGGCCAGCUGGUGUGCCCGCUGCUGUCCCCGUCCUUCAUGCCAGUGGGACCCCAGUGGGGUGCCAGCGCUGUGCUGGGGCUCUGCCUCGCCAAACGGGGACCCUGCAAGCCCCCGGGCUGGCUGCAACCGUGCUGGGCUGAGCUGUCCCAGCCUGACCCCGCCGGGCUGCGGCACCACAAGCGGGGAGGUCACCUCUGCAGGAGGGACACGCUGCCGUGGGGCUGAGCCACGCCGCUGCCAUCGGCACCGCGCCAACGAGGCUCAGCCAGGGGCUUCCUGCACCCCAUCCCCACCCCACCCCGCCGUGCUGCUGCCCCCCCCUGCCUCUGCCAGCCCCGCUGCAGCCGGGAGCUGGGACCCGGCGGCGCUGCAGCGGCAGCACUGCGUCAUGCAGCAGCUUCUCCCCUCGGAGGUGGUUUCCCUCCGGGUUGUUGCUUGGCAGCGGCGGAGGAGCGCUGCGCCGCGCUGCGGGGACGUGCCAGGCUCCUCGGCGAGCCCCGGGGAGAUGAGGAGCGGGGUGAUUUAUGGGGAGAUGACUCAGCUCCCAGCACAGGCUGGAGGCAGCGAGGGGCUGCAGCAGCAGGCGGGGGGGUUGUGGGGGGGGCGCGCAGCCCCCGGUUCUUUCUGCCAGCCUCCCUUGCUCUUGGGGCUGCCUCCCUGCGCCUCCUUUCCCUGCCUGGAUUUUUGGAGUGCGGGCGCUGCCCUGGGGGUCCCUGCAGCCCCCCAUUGCUGUGGCAGACUCUGUGCCCCCAGCCUGGCAGUGCAGGGAUGGGGCUGAGCCCCACGGUGGGGCUGCCCCACACUUAUAGGGCCGGGCAGGGAGCAGUGGGGCCGGCUUGUGGGGUGCAUGUGGGGGCUCUCCAUGGGGGGUAUCCCCACCUCCCCUUGCUGCAGCAUCCCUUGAGCGGGCGUGCAGC